rnacentral:rRNA from 1 species
GGUUAAGCGACUAAGCGUACACGGUGGAUGCCCUGGCAGUCAGAGGCGAUGAAGGGCGUGCUAAUCUGCGAUAAGCGCCGGUAAGGUGAUAUGAACCGUUAUAACCGGCGAUACCCGAAUGGGGAAACCCAGUGUGAUUCGUCACACUAUCAUUAACUGAAUCCAUAGGUUAAUGAGGCGAACCGGGGGAACUGAAACAUCUAAGUACCCCGAGGAAAAGAAAUCAACCGAGAUUCCCCCAGUAGCGGCGAGCGAACGGGGAGGAGCCCAGAGCCUGAAUCAGCAUGUGUGUUAGUGGAAGCGUCUGGAAAGGCGCGCGAUACAGGGUGACAGCCCCGUACACAAAAGCGCAUGUGCUGUGAGCUCGAUGAGUAGGGCGGGACACGUGGUAUCCUGUCUGAAUAUGGGGGGACCAUCCUCCAAGGCUAAAUACUCCUGACUGACCGAUAGUGAACCAGUACCGUGAGGGAAAGGCGAAAAGAACCCCGGCGAGGGGAGUGAAAAAGAACCUGAAACCGUGUACGUACAAGCAGUGGGAGCACAGGUUUACCUGUGUGACUGCGUACCUUUUGUAUAAUGGGUCAGCGACUUAUAUUCUGUAGCAAGGUUAACCGAAUAGGGGAGCCGGAGGGAAACCGAGUCUUAACCGGGCGUUAAGUUGCAGGGUAUAGACCCGAAACCCGGUGAUCUAGCCAUGGGCAGGUUGAAGGUUGGGUAACACUAACUGGAGGACCGAACCGACUAAUGUUGAAAAAUUAGCGGAUGACCUGUGGCUGGGGGUGAAAGGCCAAUCAAACCGGGAGAUAGCUGGUUCUCCCCGAAAGCUAUUUAGGUAGCGCCUCGUGAAUUCAUCUCCGGGGGUAGAGCACUGUUUCGGCUAGGGGGCCAUCCCGGCUUACCAACCCGAUGCAAACUGCGAAUACCGGAGAAUGUUAUCACGGGAGACACACGGCGGGUGCUAACGUCCGUCGUGAAGAGGGAAACAACCCAGACCGCCAGCUAAGGUCCCAAAGUCAUGGUUAAGUGGGAAACGAUGUGGGAAGGCCCAGACAGCCAGGAUGUUGGCUUAGAAGCAGCCAUCAUUUAAAGAAAGCGUAAUAGCUCACUGGUCGAGUCGGCCUGCGCGGAAGAUGUAACGGGGCUAAACCAUGCACCGAAGCUGCGGCAGCGAACGUAUCACUUAAAGCGAUUCAGCGGGUUACGAUUGACGGAGCGAAGCGACGUCAAAGCGUAUACAAAGUCGAGUCGGUUUAAGGAUACGUUCGUUGGGUAGGGGAGCGUUCUGUAAGCCUGCGAAGGUGGCCUGUGAGGGUUGCUGGAGGUAUCAGAAGUGCG